UGUUGGAACAGCAACUCCAAAGGCCAAAGUAACAAAUGAAUACAACCAGAAGAGCCUAUGCAUUUAUACACAUUUAUUUACUCAGUAUGAAUGGCUUUCAAGUUUGGAGACUAAAACCUUCUGACAGACUUGUAAUGUCUAAAACAGACUUGUAUAUUUCACAAUACAAAGGAAAACAGGAUAAAGACAAGAAUGAAAAAAUAAAAGGUGUGAUCAACAGCAAUCCAAACUGACAAAGGAAACAGUAAUCUGAAGCUGUCUGAAGAGUCCAGAGAACGUCAAUAAAAAUGAAACUUUAGAAAGGAAAACAACCCUGAAACUGAGUAGAGGUGGAGAAAAGCAAGUCAUGUGAGCAGUCCUCACCUUUAAAGCCAGUGAGAAGGUGCUCAAAGAGACACAAGCAGCCAUCUGAGCAGUUCCCUUAGAGAAUCCACAGUAUCAACCCUCUGCUCUGUUGCAGCUGAGAAAGUCACUCAACAGGACAGACUGGAAUUCACGAUAACUACAUUGGUUUUCUAGAGCUGCCAUAUAAAAGUACCACAAACUGAGUGGCUAAGGACAACAUUAAUUUACUGACCAUCUGGAAGCCAGAAGUCCAAAAUCAAGGUGUUGGCAGUGUCAAUCUCCCUCUGAAGGCACUAGGAAAGGACCUGUUCCAGGUCCCUAAUUUUGGUAGUUUUGUGGCUUAUGGCAACAUAACUCCAAUCUUCUUAUGGCAUUCUUCCUGUGUGUAUGCCUGUGCCCAAAUUUCUGCUUUUGAUGAAGACAUCAGUUAUAUUGGAUUAGUUGCCCACCCUACUCCAGUAUGACCUCAUCUCAACUAAUUACAUCUAUAAUGACUCUAAUUCCAGGUAAAGUCACAUUCUAGGACUUCAACCUAUGAAUUUGAGUGAGGAGAGACACAAUUCAACACAUAACAACCAGUAAUCUCAAUUCUUUCUGACAAACCUACUCUUCAACCCAUUCUCUACAGCAACUAUUUUGGGAACAAAUGUGAACUUUAGUCAAUCCAAUCAGACAAAAUCUCAGUUCUUUCAUGGGAACUAUCAUAGAAGAGAUUCUCUCUUCCACUGCACUAGGAGUUACAAAGACCACAUGCCUGCAGGUUUACAAACAUCUUAGUGCUACCAUGGGAAAACCUGUCUGAGACUGGAGCCAAGAUAUGAAGGAAAAACUGAAGAGUGACAUCACUGAGACCCUAACACAUCUGAAGACAGCUCUACUCCCAGGCCUAUCAACUACAUAAACUAACAUAUUCCCUUUCCAUUUAAGAACUGGCGUUUCCUAUCACUUGUGUAAAAGGGUUCUGAUGUAAGAACAGAUAAAACUGGCUAAUAAAGUAAACUUUAUAUA